UUCCAAGUAAAUCUUUGACUAAAAAUUUACUAAAUUGUUCGGUUCGAGAGCUCGCAUAUCACGCAAUCCAUUAAAAACUAAAGUAAAUCGUAAUUAUUAAUCUCGAUAUUAAUACUUUACCAAAUCUCGUGUCGAAUAGCUAACUGAGUUGACCGGCUGAGUUGACCGAGUCAACCGGGUUGACCCGCUGAGUUGACUCGCUACGUUGACUGAAUUGACUCGGUUGACCGAGUUUGACCGAGUCAACCCGAACCGCUUCACACCUGACCAGAGCCGACUGACUCGAACCAAAAACCCGACACGUAACUAUGCGAACCCGAACCAUGACUUGACCAUUGAUGACCGCGCCCGAAACCUGAAAGACCCGAAAUGAAUCAGAAUCGAACUAAAAAAUAUCUUGAAUCUGGUCCCGAACCGGAGCUCUGCUGCAACACCGUCACUGGCGAACCAUUGCCGUAAAUCAGACGGUAAUCACCGCCAACAUCGUCAUCCUCCACUCGUCUUCAUGUCAUCAUCAUCGAAAAACAAAAUGAUAACAUAUCUCUGUCGUUAAACCUUGAAACCAAAAAAAAAAAAAUCAAAAUUUCAAAAGAAAACAAACGAGUGGGAGGGUUUACUAGAGACUUCAUCGGAACAAUAUAACACCGCCGCGAAAAACGACCACCGCCGCCAACUGUGGCUGUGCCGCUGUUGCCGGAAAGACAGGCGGUAACCAUCACCGCCUCUGCUGGAUUGGUCGCCGGCGAAGUCAACCGGACACAAAACCACCACCACGCCGCCACUGCCGCCGCCGUGAGCGGCGGCGCCGCUCCUCCGCCAUCUUUUCUCUCUCUCUUCUCGAUCUCUCUCAUUUAUGUGUCUCCGAUCUCCCUCUCUCUUUCUCUCGUCCGACGUGCGCUGCCGCACGCCACCACCAUCUGGUGAUGGCAGCCGCUAAAUCAGAAAGAGGCAAGGGGGUUGGGUGUUAUCGUCGGAGGAGGGGGGUGUCUCGUCUGAAAAGCCACCGGCAUCGGCGCCGGUUCCGGCUCCGGUCGUCUUGACCAGCUGAACGAGAGGGAGAUAGGUGAGAGGAAGAUAGGUGUGUUUGGUUUGUGUGAGAGUAUGAGGUUUGUUCUUGUAUGCAGGUGUGAUCAAGAGAGAGUGAGAGUAGUGUGUUUGUAAUU
rnacentral:lncRNA from 1 species